rnacentral:lncRNA from 1 species
CAGUUUCCAGUUUUACUGUAAGGUAACUAAUUAAACGGUAAAAAGUGAAGGAUGACUGCGACACGUAACAGUCAUUCGAUUACAGAAACAAAACGACAUAGUACUACUUAAAACAUUUGUCUCUCGUUACACAUUGGUCAUUUAACUUUCAUCCAAUGACAACUUGGUCACUUAGUUCAUCAUCUUCUACAUCAGACACGUCACCACCUUCUUCUCCAUGCUUCAAACCAUGAUUGAGCUGCUUCUCGUCUGAUAGCCUCCCACAAGUUGGCGAAUAUAUGUCAAUAAUUCCCAACUUGCCUAGCAAGUACUGCACACGACGACGAUGAAGCGGCUUAGUGAAUAUAUCUGCAACUUGAUUCUCAGUACUGACGUGUAGCAGCUUGAUCAAACCCGACUUGAUCCUUUCCCUAGUUACAUGACAAUCUAUCUCAAUAUGCUUAGUCCUUUCAUGAAAGACAGGAUUCUUAGCAAUGUAAAUUGCAGACUUGUUAUCACAGUAGACAGUAAUAGGGGUAGACACUUGAACUCCAAGCUCAGCCAACAAUCCAGAUAACCACUGGACUUCACACACUAAGUGUGCUAAUGCUCUAUACUCAGCCUCAGAAGAAGAGCGUGACACAGUGCACUGCUUCUUUGAUUUCCAAGAUAUCAGAUUGUCUCAAAGGUAGGUACAAUAGCCUGUGAUGGAACGUCUAGUAUCAGGACAAGACGCUCAAUCAGAAUCACAGUAGCUUCUCAUUUCAACACUAACACCAGCCUUAUAGAAUAACCCUUGACCUGGUGCAAGUUUCAAAUACCCGAGUAUCCUGUGUGCAGCUUGCAUAUGUCCCACGCAAGGAACAGUCUGAAACUGAAUUAAUUGCUGCACAGCAAAGGCAACAUCAGGUCGAGUGAUGGUAAGAUAAUGUAGACGUCCAAUUAGUUGUCUGUAACUGCUAGGAUCAUCAAGUUUGUCUCCCUGAUUCGCCUUCAAAUGUAAAGUUGGAUCCAUUGGUGACUUGGCCCCCUUUGCUUCAAUGAAGCCUGUGUCAGUAAGUAAAUCCACACAGUACUUCCUCUGAGAAAUUGAGAUCCUAGCACUAGUUCUUGCUAUUUCAAGUCCUAGGAAAUACUUCAAUGGUCCCAAAUCCCUAAUCUUGAACAUGUUCUGUAAAUAAGACUUGACAUGAUCAAUUUCUGUCUGGUUGCUUCCUGCUAAAAUGAUGUCAUCAACAUACACAAGAAGGAUAACCAUAUUGUCAUCUCGUCCCUUUAGGAACAAAGAGUAAUCAGCACUAGAUUGUCUAAAACCAUGUUGUAGGAGGGAUUCUGUUAGCUUUGCAAACCACUGACGACUAGCCUGUUUGAGUCCAUACAGUGAUCUCUAGAGCUUGCAGCAAUAACCAGCUGGAACAUCAAAAUCAGGGGGAGCUUGCAUGUACACCUCCUCCUCAAGCUCACCAUUGAGGAAGGCAUUUGAUACAUCCAUUUGAUGCAAAUGCCAGUGCUGAGCAGCAGCAACAGACAAUAGACAUUUCACAGAGUUGAUCUUGGCAACGGGAGAGAAACUGUUAAGGAAAUCAACACCAUAUACUUGAGUAAACCCCUUAGCAACCAGACGGGCUUUAUGACGUUCAAUGGAACCAUCAUCAUUCAAGUUGAUCUUAUAGACCCAUUUGCAACCAAUUGGAUGCUUACCAGGGGGAAUGGAAACCACAGUCCAAGUGUGAUUGGACGACAAGGCUGAGAGGUCCUCCUCCAUAGCUUUAAUCCAACAAGCUUGGAGCGCAGCCUCUUUGUAUGUCUUAGGUUCCUGGAGAGUAAUAACACCGAGAGCAUACUUCCUAUGACCUACAGAAAGAUGGUCAUAACAAACAACUGCAAUAAGAGCAUGCUUUGCAGUGGCUAAGUCAAGGUGGUAAUCUUGCAGGUAAGUAGGAGGACGUUUGAGACGAGUAGAUUGACGAGCAAUAGGAGGAGGGACAUCCCCAGACACAUCGUCAACUACAUCAAGCUUAGGGGGUUGCAAGUUCCCAACAUCACUAGGUUGUACACUAAGUGAUGCAGGCAAAGAACCAGGACUAGUGACAACUGGAUCAGGAACAGAUUGAGGAGGGCAUGAGUGAUAAACAGACUGACUCGAUUCUGCAUGAGGCAGCCUGAGUUCUGAAUAUGGGGGGAACUCAGGGAGAUUACUGACUAUGGGGGGUAAGGCUGAACCAGACAUUCCUUUGAAAGGAAAAAUGUUUUCAUGGAAAACGACAUCCCUAGAAAGGAACACAUGCUGAGUACUGAGUUCCAUAACUAGAUAUCCUUUGACACCAUCUGGAAGUCCUAAAAACAAACAUUGACGAGCUCUAGGGUGAAAUUUUGUCCUAUGACCUGCUAGAGUGGAAGCAUAACAUAGACAACCAAAAACUUAUAGACAGGCAAUGUCAGGGAGACGAUUGUAUAGACGUUCAAAGGGAGAUUGAUGUUUCAAAAUUGGAGUAGGCAUACGAUUAAUCAGGUAAAAAGCAUGGAGAACACAAUCACUCCAAAACUGAAAAGGUAAACCUGCCUGAAAUUGCAGGACCCGUGCAACAUUCAGGAUGUGCUGAUGCUUACAUUCAACACGAGCAUUUUGUUGAGGUGUCUCAACACAGGAGGUUUGAUGGAGGAUGCCAUGAUCGAGAUAGAAUUUUUUCAUGACAAACUCCUUACCUUGGUCACUCCUAAUAAUUUUGACAGCAGACUCAAAUUGAGUUUUGACCAUAUUGCAGUAUGAUUCAAUGAGAGGCCUAACUUCAAACUUAUGUUUCAUUAGAUAGAUCCAUGUCCCUCUGGAGAAAUCAUCAACAAUGGUGAGAAAGUAAGAAAAUUUAUCGUAUGACUCAGUGGCUAAGGGUCCCCAAAUAUCCAUAUGGACCAGAUCAAAGGGUUUAGAAGCAAUGGCAUUACUGACAGGAAAAGAUAAACGUUUCUGUGUUGCCAAAUGACAGACUUCACAAUGAACAAUACGUUCAACAAGUACUGAAGGAUUACAUCUUGUUAAAGCAAGAAUUCUAUCUUCAUUAGGAUGGCCUAAUCUCCAAUGCCAAAGAUUAAUAUCUUGGGGUUUGAAAUUGAAGCUAACUGUCAGAACGAGGGAGGUAGGAGGAAUGCUCUUGGAUCCUUGAGUGGAAUCCUGAGCUUGAAGUUGGUAUAGACCUUUUAAUGGUUGUAGCCAAACCAAUCGUCCUGCUGGUGAUACGGUCCUGGAUGAAACAUUUUUGGGAUUGAAACCGCAAUGACACAGAAGAGUCAUGAGUUAACUUGCUGACAGACACCAAAUUGAAUCCAAAACUAGGAACCAGCAGAACAUCAUGAAGGAUCAGUCCGAAAGAAAGUUUGACUGAUCCAAUGUGACUCACAGAGACUUUGGUGGAAUUUGGAAGGUAAACAUAGACACCAAUGACAGCUUUAUAGUUAAAGAAAUAUCGAAGGUUGCAGCAGAUAUGAUCUGAAGCACUAGUGUCCUGAAUCCAGGUUGUCAUUAAGUCAUAGUUAGUGCUAGCAGACAUAUUGUACAUACCUGAGUGAUGAGAGGACUGUGGAGGGGCAUGGCUGACUGCAAGUGCUUUGUGCUGUGAACCUGCUACCUGUUGAAGGAGAGGCCUUAGUUGGUGCAGUUCCUCUGAUGUGAAGGAGGUAAGAUUAGUAGCUGAGGAUGAUGAUCCUGAGCUGCUUGACUCAGUUUCCUGAACUACCAUCCCAGCAAACCUCCCAGCACUUGGAUUCACAUAUCCUCCACCAGCCUUUUGUUCCUGCUCUCUUUUCUUCUUAUUUUUGAGCUUGAGGCAGUCCUCAAUGACACGAUUAUCUUUCUUACAAUACUUUCAGAAAAGCUUCUUGUCUCCAGUUACAGCCAUGGCUUGUUUAGAAGAAUCACCUGAACCAUCCAGACUCACAGCAAAAGCACUAGGAUGCACAGAAUCCUUGCUGAUUACCCCUCCUCCCCUCAAUUUCUCUUCAUGCUGCAAGGCACUAUCAUAUGCAGAGGUAACUGAUGGAAGAGGCCUCAUCAUCAUCAAUUGAGUCUUCACUACAUCAUAUUCAUUGUUCAGUCCCCUUAAAAAUCAAAUUAGAUAGUAUGUAUCAUGCUUGGUUUGGAAUGCAAGAACAGUUGGACAAAUGUUUGGAUUUCCAGGAAGACAAGUGCAAGCAACAAUGGGAGAAAAUUGACCAUACUCUUCCCACAAUCCUUUAAUGGUUGUGUAAUACUGAGUAACUGUCAUUUGGCCUUGCUUGCAAGCAUGUAUUUCAUCUUGGAGGUUAGCUAAACGCAAUGCAUUCGCCUGUCCAAACCUGGAUUUCAGCUCAUUCCACAAAAUCUGAGCAUUCUCAUGAUUCAUCACACUUCUUCGAAUCUCUGGAUGUAAGGAAUUCAUGAUCCAGCAUAGGACCAUUGUGUUACAGGCAUCCCAUAUGGCAUAUCUAUCAUUAGAAAAAUCAGGUGGAUGGAUAGAUCCAUCGAUAAAACCAAUUUUGUGUUUCGUUUUGAGCGCAAAUUUUACAGAUCUGCUCCAGACAUGGUAGUUUCCACCAUCCAAACUUAUGUUGACUAUAGAUUGUGCGAGGUUCUCGUUUGGAUUCAGAUAGAAUGGACUACCAAAACCAAGCGGAGGUGGAGGAGUGUUCGAGUUACCUCCAGAGUUGUGGUGGUGCUGCUGAUGCACAUUUUCAUUGUCACCAUCAUCAUCUUCGUCGUCUUGAACAGAUCCAAAAACGAUCGGGGUGGAGCUUCUAGGAGUGACGACCAUUUCAGAUGCCUCUAGGUCUCGAUCGAAGGCUCUGAUACCAUUUCAGAUGAGCUCAAGUGAGAGGAGAAAGAGAAUGAAAUGUUCUGGAAAUCGUUAAGUUCUUUCAUUACUGCAUUUCUUCAUUCAUACACUCAGUUUCCAGUUUUACUGUAAGGUAACUAAUUAAACGGUAAGAAGUGAAGGAUGACUGCGACACGUGGCAGUCAUCCGAUUACAGAAAUAAAACGACAUAGUACUACUUAAAACAUUUGUCUCUCGUUACACAUUGGUCAUUUAACUUUCAUCCAAUGGCAACUUGGUCACUUAGUUCAUCAUCUUCUGCAUUAGACACGUCACCACCUUCUUCUCCAUGCUUCAAACCACGAUUGAGCUGCUUCUCGUCUGAUACCUCUCAAUGCUUAUUAACUCGAGUUCUAAGACUAGACUAAAAUUACCU